AAGAGAGAAGCAUGAGCGGUUAAUGCGGUUGGCUUGAAACCAGUGUAUGAGGGUUCGAUUCCUUCCUCUCUUG
rnacentral:tRNA from 1 species